rnacentral:sRNA from 1 species
UCCGUAGGUGAACCUGCGGAAGGAUCAUUACUGAUUUGCUUAAUUGCACCACAUGUGUUUUUUAUUGAACAAAUUUCUUUGGUGGCGGGAGCAAUCCUACCGCCAGAGGUUAUAACUAAACCAAACUUUUUAUUUACAGUCAAACUUGAUUUAUUAUUACAAUAGUCAAAACUUUCAACAACGGAUCUCUUGGUUCUCGCAUCGAUGAAGAACGCAGCGAAAUGCGAUACGUAAUAUGAAUUGCAGAUAUUCGUGAAUCAUCGAAUCUUUGAACGCACAUUGCGCCCUUUGGUAUUCCAAAGGGCAUGCCUGUUUGAGCGUCAUUUCUCCCUCAAACCCCCGGGUUUGGUGUUGAGCAAUACGCUAGGUUUGUUUGAAAGAAUUUAACGUGGAAACUUAUUUUAAGCGACUUAGGUUUAUCCAAAAACGCUUAUUUUGCUAGUGGCCACCACAAUUUAUUUCAUAACUUUGACCUCAAAUCAGGUAGGACUACCCGCUGAACUUAAGCAUAUCAAUAAGCGGAGGAAAAGA